UACGUAGGGAGCUAGCGUUGUUCGGAAUUACUGGGCGUAAAGCGCACGUAGUCGGCUUUGUAAGUUAGAGGUGAAAGCCCGGGGCUCAACCCCGGAAUUGCCUUUAAGACUGCAUCGCUUGAAUCCGGGAGAGGUGAGUGGAAUUCCGAGUGUAGAGGUGAAAUUCGUAGAUAUUCGGAAGAACACCAGUGGCGAAGGCGGCUCACUGGACCGGUAUUGACGCUGAGGUGCGAAAGCGUGGGGAGCAAACAGG
rnacentral:rRNA from 1 species